rnacentral:rRNA from 1 species
GAUGAACGCUGGCGGCGUGCCUAAUACAUGCAAGUCGAGCGAACGGACGAGAAGCUUGCUUCUCUGAUGUUAGCGGCGGACGGGUGAGUAACAUGUGGAUAACCUACCUAUAAGACUGGGAUAACUUCGGGAAACCGGAGCUAAUACCGGAUAAUAUCUUGAACCGCAUGGUUCAAAAGUGAUAGACGGUCUUGCUGUCACUUAUAGAUGGAUCCGCGCUGCAUUAGCUAGUUGGUAAGGUAACGGCUUACCAAGGCAGCGAUGCAUAGCCGACCUGAUAGCGUGAUCGGCCACACUGGACCAGAGACACGGUCCAGACUCCUACAGGGGGCAGCAGUAGGGAAUCUUCCGCAAUGGGCGAGAGCCUGACGGAGCAACGCCGCGUGAAUGAUGAAGGUCUUCGGAUCGUAAAACUCUGUUAUUAGGAAGGAACAAAUGUGUAAGUAACUGGGCACAUCUUGACGGUACCUAAUCAAAAAGCCACGGCUAACUACGUG